rnacentral:lncRNA from 1 species
GAGAAUUUGCAUUGUAUACACAAACAAUAUAGACUAAUUAGCAAUCUACCAUUUGACACUAUUAUGUACUGUGCUUAAAAAUUAAUGACUCUAAUACCCCUAUUUCCUAUGAUUUUCCACAACCAUCAUCUUUUUCGUCAUCUCUGGAUCUCUGCCAAGGAACCCACCGUGUCUCCAUUCCUUUCCCCUUACUUCUUCUCCUUCGCUGCACUCGCCUCCAGAUCUCCCACCUCCACUGCCGAGCGUCUCCACCAAGCGAUCCGCCUCCGCGACGCGCCCAGCUCCGCCACGGCGCCGUCUCCCUCCACCCCGAGCUCCUCUCCCAGUUCUCUUCCAUCUCCGACGCGGAAAUCUCUCUCUCUCCUCCCUCCGCUCCUCCAUCUCCUCUCUUCUCCUCCGCCGUACUCGCCUCCGGAUCCCCCGCCUCCACCGCCAAGUGUCUCCACCGAGAGAUCUACCUAAUUGACUCUUACUUGUAUCUCCCAGCUCUCUUCCCUUUCCGGCAAAUCACCAAGACCAUGCUUUAACAGAUCUCGACGGAAAAUACGAUGAACCAUUGGCAAAGAGAGAGAACCACCCAUUCAAUAAACCCUAAGGGGAAAAUGAAUCGAAGAAUAAAUAAAUUAAAAAAACUGAUUUUGAUGUGGAUCUAAUACGAAAUUUGGAACUUUCAGUUUUGGGUUUUCUACUUUUUGACAAAGAACGAUCGAAUCCAUGUAUCGGAGACAAAGCAAUGGAGAAAGGAAGCGUUUGGUUGUGACAGACGGACGGUGACUCAGAUGAUGGGAGGAGGAUAAUAAAAAUAUGUUUUAGGUGGAGAUGAAUGAGAGUAGGGGUAAAAUCGGUAGAAGGGAUCGAAUAUUGAACAGUAUAGAGGAGUUUCCAAGCGCGUAUGGUAGUUACUUAAUUUAGUGCACUUUCAUGUAUAUUU